AGACCUGUAACAAAGAUCAGAGGACAUAAGAAAUGUAACAGAAGGGGCAUCUUCUCAAAAGUAGUCUCAGUCUCCGUCUUACAACAAAAAUAUUCACACCCAAACUUUUUCAUCGUUUGUCAUUUUAGUCAAUUUUAAGUGACAGACCAACAUAAACAAAACAAGGUUUUCAAUAUUGUACAAAAAAUAAAAAAUAAAAAAAUGGAAAGGGCGACCUUGCAUUUAUAUCCUCUUUACUCCAAUAUAGCCAAAGAACAUCCAAUUAAAGUAAUUGCUUCCAGGGAUCGUCUAAUAAAUAAAUCGUCACUUUUAUCUAAUUUAAUCUCAAUAAUAUUACAGCUGCUCUGUGAAGGUAUCAGAGGUCUGUUAGAGAACUCCGGUGAAUAAAAAGCAUCAUGAAGACAAAAGUAAAACACGACGUUUUUGAAGGAAAGUCACUAAAAGCCGGAAGCUGGUCAGAGUUCAUGGGAAGAUGGACGGAGCCAAAUGCAAAAA